rnacentral:lncRNA from 1 species
GUUGCCCAAGAGCCCCCUUAAGAGAUCUGCUUGAGAUCUACAAGCCUGUGGCGAGUGCCAGGAUUGAGGCUGCCUAAAUCUGAAGGGUAGUAGCCUACCCUAAGGUACGACUCUCUCUGGGAGAUUGUCUGGAACUAUCUUUCGACAUGCACUUUACUCUGAGAUAGAGGAAUGGAGCUCAAGAUGUCCUACCCAGAAUGUGGGUUGGACAAUGAGUUGACGAAGC